rnacentral:lncRNA from 1 species
AGUGUCGGGGGGGGGGACGCGUCGCCGGCGCAGAUCCGACGGCCGGCCGGUGCGCCGUACGCCUCUCCCGCCGCGGCCGGUGGCGCGAUGCGUUCGUCCUCUCUUUUUUUUUCGUUUUUUUUCUUUUCUUUUCUUUCUCCCUUGGCCUCCGAGCUUAACUCGAGGAGGUCCUAGGUGACGGGUUAAUCUAAACCGUGGUUAAGGCGACACCUCUUGGCGCCAUCUUUAUAGCCCUGCGCUUUUUGCGAUUAGCACCUCUGAUUAUUCGUCUAUUUGU